GUCUGCAACCCGACUACACGAAGCUGGAAUCGCUAGUAAUCGCGAAUCAGAAUGUCGCGGUGAAUACGUUCCCGGGUCUUGUACACACCGCCCGUCACACCAUGGGAGUCGGGAAUGCCCGAAGUCAGUGACCCAACCAAAUGGAGGGAGCUGCCGAAGGCAGGUCUGAUAACUGGGGUGAAGUCGUAACAAGGUAAC
rnacentral:rRNA from 1 species